rnacentral:rRNA from 1 species
GACGAGGGGUCCAAGCGUUGUUCGGAAUCAUUGGGCGUAAAGCGUGUGUAGGUGGCUCUAUAAGUCAGGAGUGAAAGCCCCAAGCUUAACUUGGGAAGUGCUUUUGAUACUGCAGAGCUUGAAUGUGGGAGAGGUUAAUAGAAUUCCAGGUGUAGUGGUGAAAUACGUAGAUAUCUGGAGGAAUACCGGAGGCGAAGGCGGUUAACUGGCCCAACAUUGACACUGAGACCCGAAAGCGUGGGGAUCAAACAGG